rfam:Chlorobium phaeobacteroides DSM 266, complete genome.
AAAGUCCCUUACAGUGAAAGAGUAGCGAUCUACACUGGCCCCAAGUCAUGCGUGGGUGGCCGUGAGGCCAUACGUGAAGCGUUGACAGGGGUGCGUAUAGGCCAGCCAUUGAGCGGCGAAAAAUCAAUCUGGGGGGCCGAUGCUCUCAAACUUGCAGAAGGCAAUAUGAACAGGUGCGAUAAUAAUGCGAGUGCUUGUUUGCCCCCACGUCGUCUGAGACCC